GCAGUAAGUUGCCACAAACAGGGACACAGAGCAAGCCCACCCUUCCUGGGCCCGGGCCUAGGGUGCUUCUGGGGUUACAAGGUUGCAGCUUCUCUCUGUUCUUUGCCUCUUGGCCACUGCCAGUGGUGCAGGCCUGGCAGAGAUAUGUAAUUAUAUGUUUCACAUAAUUGUUAAACUGCAUUGAAUAGGCAAGCUGGCCUCAUGCCCUUUCUCCCUGGAGGAUUCACGGAUCAGAGGGCUGCAUCUAUCCUGUUCCCUGCCUGCAGACAGCUGAAACCAAAAAUAUUCUGAACCUCAGACUUUUUCACAGUCCUCAGAGCUACCCCAGUAUAAGCCCUCCCCCUUUGAGAGAGUGGGCCCACACUUAACAACACAGAUUCAAGUGAAUCUCUCCGGUUGUAUUUGCCCUGUUUUUAGUGGAAGUGGAGUUUCACUGCUAAAAGUCUGCUCCUUUUAAGCGCAAGACUAUUGAAAGAAAAAAUCUCUGUCCCAUCAUUAGAAGGGGAUAGCACGGACCAUUGGCCUCUGGAAGACCUUCUAGCACUGAUAGCCUGGACCGCCGCGUUCCCAGCUUCUGCUGAAUGUUAAGCUGACGACCCUAGUCGUGCUUCCAAUGACUCUUUAGAUAGGCCAGCCUCUGCCAAGCGGUGGGCCUCCUGGAAGGCCCAGGGCAUAAAAACACGUCAAGACUGUUAGUGCUCUGACCCUUCCAGCUCCCAUGGCGCCUGAGUCCCCCGGAAGCAUCGGUGAAUGCCUGUUUGUCCUAGAAGUCUCGGAAAGGUGGGAGGAGCAUCCCCGCUUUCUCCAUAGGUGGGCAAGCGAGAAAUGAGGGGGGCUGGCCCGGAAGCCCUCGAAGGCAGAGAGGACCUUGGCUCCAGAUUCCAAGGAGUUCAGUCAGCCAGAGGCUGGAAGUCAGUCUCAAGCAGGCCAAGAAGGAGUUAACCUCCAAGGAGAAUGAGGGCUUCUCCCAGACCGGAGGCCUGUGCCCAGCUUCGCCUCUGCCAACUCCGGGAAGAAGUCCUGGGAUCUGUAGUUUGUGCCACCACCCACCCCUGGCCUGCCUGUUUAUCAACAACGUCUUGGGGACUACAGUUCCCAGAAACCUGCAGAGGCCAGGCUUUGGGGGAAGGGGUGGGGUGUGAGGCUCGGUGGCAGCAGGAGGGAGAGGGAGGAGGUGGGGAGAGAAAACCCAAUUCACCCCCUUCCUUUUUAAUUCUUUCUCCUGGUGUGUCUGCUCCACCGCCCGAGCUAAUCCCCCAAAUCCGGUCUCCUAAGCCGCAGCUGCUUUCCUUCGCAGUGAUGAAUGGCUCGGGGAGGGAAGCCCCCACUGCCGUCCACUUUGGUGGAGGACAUUGCCCAAAUCCGAGGCACUUAGGAGUUCCUGGUCUGCCAGCAUGAAGCCGUGGCUGUCUCCUCCCCUAGUGUCUAGAUUGCUCUGGGACCCUCUCUCUCUUGGUCCCUCCAACGUGUUCAAGCCAUCUCUGACCCACUGCCCCAGUUUGGGUGGACGUGCUAGGGCUGCCCCCCCCCCCCCCCCGGGAGGGUGCCUGGUAUAGAGAGGAGAAGCAAGGUUGAGGGACAGGGGAAGGGGUCAACAGGAAGGCUGGGAACCCCCUGGUGGUUGGGGAUGAUGAGCUAUGGGUUCACACCUCAGCUCGGCUCCCACAGAGCUGGCCAAGCAGAGGCUCUUUCUCGCCUCCAUACCCCAGAUCAUCUCAGAUCUGAGCUGGGGACAAAGGCCAGAGAGGAGGAUGGGGAAUACAUCCAAGCCACCAGCUUGCAGUCAGAUGCAGCCAACUGUGAGUUAGCGGGGGGGUCUGUCCGGUGUCCACCUUCCUUUCCUUCCUAUGCUGAGUUGAUGGGGGCCAUCUUUCUAUCCCUUAGCCUCUCCUGGGCUAGAGGCACGGAAGCUGAGGCCGGAGGGGAAGCUGCAGGAUGGGAGGGGAAGUUUCCAUCACGAACACAGAUAAGUAGGGGCUGCCUCCAGGCGCUGGUCCACUUGCUUCAUUGAAACUCUGCACUCUGCCCAUUUCAGACACUCAAAACCCUUUCUCCUCAAGUAGACAGAGCAGGAGGAAGUUCAUCAGGACCUACCUUUUCCAGGAAGCCCUCCUGUUGGUGCUGAGACACUCUGCAAAGUGUGAAGGGAUCAAGGCAGUGUGGGCAAAGCAGAGAGAGACGUGGAGGCACAGCCCCGACAGCUCCCCAGGUACCUGCCAGCAUCGCAGAGGGAUCCUGAAGGCUGAGUGGGACCCCGAGCAGGAGAGAUAACCCUGGAAUGGGAAGGCGUUCUCUACUCCACAGCUCCCCACUUUGGGGACCGUCCCAGGGACCUGUAUCAUGCACAGAGCCCAGACUGCUUUCAGGGCUUGGAGUCCCACUCCUUAUAGGGAAGACGAACUUGUCGGGCCCUGGUAGGGAAGGCAGAGGACAAUCAGAGCACUUUAUAUAUCAAAGAUAUAUAUAUUGGCUUCAUCCAACCCUCUGGAAACUCUGAUGUGUAGGUCCUGGUUCCUCCAACCUCUAGCCCCAAACUUCCCUACAGUUAGCAAAAAAGGCAGGAUUUUCUCAUCUCUCCCAAAGGACCUUGGGGAGGAACAGUCACUUCAGGGGGUACACUUUGCUGGGGUUUUCUAAAAGAUUUUUUUGAAGUGUAUUUACUUAUUUUGAGAGAGAGAGAGAACACGCGCGUGCAUGUGCACAAGCAAGGGAGGAGCCGAGAGGGAGGGAGAGAGAGAAUCCUCAGCAGGCUCCACACUGUUCAGUGCAGAGCCUGACUCUGGGCUCGGACCCACGAACCGUGAGAUCGUGACCUGAGCGGAAGUCAAGAGUUGGAUGCUUAACCAACUGAACCACCCAGGCACCCCCACUUUUACUGUUUUUUUGGAAAGAGCAGACAUUGGAGGGGAAGUAUGGUAGGGAGAAAAGAGGAUCUAUGCACCUUGGGGCCAGAGACCCUGAGCUGCGCCUGGACCCAGACUUGGGGUGGGAGAGUCAUGGUCAAAGCGACUUGCCUGGCUUGUUUUAACUACGAAUUCCUUCCCCAGAUCAGCUUUGUUGGGCCUACUGACUUCUCCCCACGUAUUUUUUCCUGUAAUCGAGGAAAUGCUGUGUUGAUAGUACCCUUGACAUACAUCCCCCUAAGCAAAGGAAGUGGAUGCAUUACAAUUACUGACUAUAAGGAAACCCACCUGUUCUCCCUCCCGUCUUCCUGAUCAGACCAGGAUUUCUAGUGCCCUUCUGGCCCUUUAGGUAACCCCUUGGUACACUGAGAUGAGGAAGUGAAAGCCCAGAGAGGCACAGCCACUUGCCAGGGUGACACAGCAUGCCGGCGUCAGAGACAAGAAUAGAGCCCAGGCCAUCUAAGCCCCAGUUUAGAUCCCAGUCUCUCUAGGUUUGUCACGGGAGGGAUCCAGAGAUGGCUGCGGGAGAUAGAUCUAGAAAUAUGGUCGUUGCGUCCCGGCUCUGUCUAUAUAUAUCCUGGAGAUUGCUCUCUGCUCUCUAUAUAUACUCCAGGAGAGUGGGUAUGUGGAGGAUGCUGGAAAUCGGGUGAUUAAAUGGCCAGUCUACCUACCCAUGCUGACUCAGGCUGGGCCUCCUGCCCACCCAGCUGGCCAUUGGAAAUGCACUGCACCUAUUAAUUACAGUCAUUAGCUGUAUUACCAGGACACUUGGAGGGUAAGGGAGGGGAGAAUCCUGAUAGGACCCGGCUCCACUGUGGGCACCGCGCUUGGUGAGGGCCUGCCAGCCGGGGCCCUCUGCUCGGCCUGCGGAAACGCGAAGUUUGUCCAAAGGAGCAAUGUUGGCCAAACCUGUGGAACUGUCCAGAGAGCCGUCGCCUGGGCCUUGCCAGGUUCCUCAAAUACAGGGGGACCACCCGAUGCAGAGCCGGGCCGGGGACAUCCCUCAUGCUUCCUGAUUCCUGACUUCGGCAUAGCCCCACACCUCCCUCCUUCCUCUCAGCAUUUGGGCUGCCCCCCAAAUUCUUCCUAAAGAGAAAAAUGAUCCAAACCAGGCCUAGGAUGGGAGCCUGACCUCCACGCAGAGUGCUCUCUUGGUGCCCAGCUGCUCUGCUUCGGCCGACUUGAGUAUACAUCUGCUCCCUCCAGGGCAGGCUAGGGGCAGAGGAAGGGCAGAGAAGCGAGCUGGAGGACUCUGCAGGGUGGGUACCCACCUCCUGAAGCCUGCUCCCAGCCCUAGCCAGACUGCCCCCGCUCCCAGAGGGGCGCCCGCCUCCAGUGCUGGGUGCCCGGGCACCGUGUCAGCCGGGAGUGGAGAUAACAUGCCGAGCCGGGGCGAACCCAGCCUCAGCCUCUAUCUCAGCCUUACUUUCCUGCCAGGGAAGAAACUAUAUCUUUACCCUUAUGUACCUACCUCCCCACCCCGUUGCCCAGCAUAGCUGCUCAAUAAAAUAGCCUGUUGGCUAAAAGAA